rnacentral:lncRNA from 1 species
CACCAUCCUUAGUUAAAGGGCCUAGGUUGGUAAUAUUUUCUGAGUUUUUUUUUUGUUUGUUUUGGGCAUGGUUCCCCCCCAUUCAUUGGGUUGUUUUCUCCAUUUUCUUUUCUUUUCUUUUUUUUUGAGGAAGAUUAGCCCUGAGUUAACAUCUGCUGCCAACACUCCUCUUUUUGCUGGGGAAGACCGGCCCUGAGCUAACAUCCAUGCCCAUCAUCUUCUACUUGGUAUGUGGGACGCCUGCCUCAGCAUGGUUUGACAAGCAGUGUGUAGGUCAGCACCUGGGAUCCGAACCAGCAAACCCCGGGCCGCCCAAGCAGAAACAUGCAAACUUAACCACUACCCCACCGGGCUGCCCCUCCAUCUUCUUAAUAAUUGGAAAAUAUUUUCUUCCCUUUUCAUUUGUAUCUUCUUCCAUUUGGCAUUUAUGGUGGCAGCAGGGAACAGGUGUCUAUUUUUAGAAUGGACUGAAACCAGCACUUUGUGCUUGUCUUACUAUGGCAACUGGACUGAUUCCUAUCACUUAUUUAAAGGUCUUUCGGAGCAAGAAGCCAUUCCUUUCAGGGCAAUGCCUGGAGAGUGCUGUCAGGCGCUCUGGGGAAGGGGAAGCUGAUGGGACCUCAGAGUAGAGAACAGUGUCUGCAUGUCCUGAAACCAUAUUUCCUUCUAAGGUGCAUGCUUCCCAGAGCCACUGCAUUCUAGUGUAGCGCCAGCUGCCAGGCAAGACUCACCGGCCUGGGAGGAGGGUCGAGCUGCCUGGCGGCCACGUGCCCAGCCCUGGCUGGAGGAGGGCUGGCAUCUCCCCCGACAGGCCCUGAAUGAUGCUGGUUUGAGGCGAUUCCUCGAAAGCCAAAUGGGACGGAACCAGAAGAUAGAGACUGGAGAUAGGCAGAAACGACAUCAAUGGCCACUCCGCAGCUGAUCUGCUCUGGCCUGUGUUCUUGUCUGGCCAUUUUAAACAUCCGUCUGUCUCCCCAGCAGAUCCCAACCUCCAGGAGGACAGGGACAUCCUCCUCCUCUUUUGUUUGCUUGGUUGGGAUGGAGAGGGAGGGAAUUCAGCACCAUCCUGAUAUUUAGUAGCUGCUUAAUAACCACGUAUGGAAUUGAAUUCAGUGAAAUCAAAGAGAAGAAAAAUGGAAAGGCAGAUGUUUUCAAAGUGCUUUCCCACGGGUCAAAACACUGUUGUGCUCUGAUGUGAGCAGCGAGGAUGAAAUACCUCAACCUGGCUUCGUGUUGCUGAGGCCUCUUCACCCAGGAAGCUCCUCUUCCCUCCCCCAACCUUCACCCGCCCUGGGCCGGGCGAGUCCCUGUGGCGUUGCAGAAUAAUGGAAUAAUGUUGCCAUUUAUUAUCAAGACAUGGCAUCCAACAAUGAG